CUUAGUUCAGAUAAAAGCCAGGUUCUUGCCACAUGGCCAUGAUUAGGCUCGCAGACAUUUUGAAGAGUGAGAAAAAUGGAAUUUAUUGGGCAAAAAGGAAAAAAAGAGAAACAGGGACUCUCAGCAAAGCGAGAGUCCCCGCUAGCUGGUCUCCCCCUCACAGAUUGAAUCCUGGAUUCCACCUGAAACAGAAGAGGCCAGUCUCCUCCCCGCUGCAAAGGGCGUGAACUCCGUGGCUCCAGCCCAUUUUCCCAGUGCCCGCACAGUGGUUGGAGUUUCUCCGGGGACCGCUUUAUACUUGACUGUCUCAUUGCCAUGGCAUUUGUCAACUGUCGUGCUGCUGGUGGGAGUGUCUUUUAGUGUGCUAAUGUAUUAUUAUUAGUGUAUAAUGAGCCAUGAGGAUGACCAGAGGUCACUCUUGUCACCAUCUUGGUUUCGGUGGGAUUUGGCCGGCUUCUUUACUGCAUGCCAUUUUAUCCGCAAGGUCUUUAUAACCUGUAUCUUGUGCCGACCUCCUGUCUCAUCCUGUGACUAAGAAUGCCUAGCCUCCUGGGAAUGCCACCCAGUAGGUCUCAGCCUUAUUUUACCCAGCGGCUACUCAAGAUGGUUCAAAUGCCUCUGACAGUGGGAUGGAGCAGGUUCUCCCUUUGUAAGGGCCUGAGGGCCCAUGAAGCAUGGAAGUAAAGACAAAUCUUGAGUUCCUUCAAAGAAAAUUCCAGGCACCUGGAUGGCCACGAGAAGUCAAUGAGCAACUCGCUUGUAGGUUAAAUGCUGCUAAGUGGAGAGAGAGUCUGAUGUGGAGCUUGGAAGAAGCCUUUGCAAUGUCACCUCGGGAUUCCCUGGGGCCAAUCAUUUAAGGCACUGGUCAUAUUCCUUCCAGGACUUGGAGAGGGGAGAUGUGUUAAAUGAAGAAUUGUCAUCACUAAUAUGCUUUGAGUUGAUUGACCUUCAUGUCAUAGAAUAAAUGUUCAACUUUGCAUCACGUCAAUGUUUGCCUCCUUCCCACCUGGAGAGAACCUAGUAAGAAAGAACUUGAGUAGCAAUAGUAAACAAUAAAUAUUGGGUCAUCACAUAACCCAUGUUAGUCUCACCCAGAUGCAAAACAUAGCUAAAAACAGUAGAAAAUGGCAACAAACAGUCUUAGAAAAAUACAGACCCUCUAGUGACUGUUUUUGUUUGAUGGCUGACAUUGGUCUAAAGAAAUUUCAAGAGAGCUGAAGGGUGGCAUCCUGUUUUAUUUCUUCAAUCCUUGGAAGAGCUCCCUUGCAUUGAGAAUGCACACAUUUGCAUUUCAAAGCAAGUGGGGUUUGGGUAAACAGUCUUAGAAGUCAAAGCAACCAUCUCCUAGAAGCAAGCUGUAUAUCAGGUAGAGAAAGAAGAGAUGAAAAAGGGCCAUGACUAUGCCCAUUUCAGUCAUCUGCUUGGGAUCCUGCCACAUGGCAGAGUUUGGUGGACACAGCACUUCUCUGCUCCCUGGGACAUAAGCAGAAACAUCUUUGGCAUGACUGAAGCAUUCUACUCCCAAGAUGGCCCCAUGCAUUGGCCUGGCAGAGGAAUGCUGUCUGAAGGCCAGGAGCUCAGUAUGGCUAUUGACUGGCCUGGCCUCAAUUCUCCUCCACAGGGAUCGUUCAGGCUUCUUACAAUAUGGCUGUCUCAAGGUAGUUAGAGGGUGACUUACCCCAUGUCACAAAAGCAGAAGCUUUCAGUUCUUCUUAGACCUGGGGUGAGUGCAGCCACCCUCUGCCAUAUAGUGUUGGAUAAAGCAUAUCCCAGGGCUACUCUGGUUCAACAGAAAGGUAUACACAAGGGUGUAAAUGCCAGAGGUCAAGGUUUUUUGGGGGUUACCCAAGUGGAGUCAACCUUCAUUAUUUGCAGAUGCUCUCUUUGCAAAUUCAGCUACUUGCUCUAAUUUCUUUGUAACCCCAAAUUAAUACUCAUUGCACUUUCGUGAACAUUUAAAGCAAUAAAUAAUUUGAGUCACC
rnacentral:lncRNA from 1 species